rfam:Gossypium hirsutum cultivar TM-1 chromosome 15, whole genome shotgun sequence
AACCCAUGGUGAGGGCACCUUCUCAAAAGAUUUUUGUAUCACUCCAAUGCAUCAUAGAGUGUUUCUAAAUCCAUCUGCACAAGAGAGGAGAUAUCAUUACAUAAUUU